AUUGAACGCUGGCGGCAGGCCUAACACAUGCAAGUCGAGCGGAUGACGGGAGCUUGCUCCUUGAUUCAGCGGCGGACGGGUGAGUAAUGCCUAGGAAUCUGCCUGGUAGUGGGGGACAACGUUUCGAAAGGAACGCUAAUACCGCAUACGUCCUACGGGAGAAAGCAGGGGACCUUCGGGCCUUGCGCUAUCAGAUGAGCCUAGGUCGGAUUAGCUAGUUGGUGGGGUAAUGGCUCACCAAGGCGACGAUCCGUAACUGGUCUGAGAGGAUGAUCAGUCACACUGGAACUGAGACACGGUCCAGACUCCUACGGGAGGCAGCAGUGGGGAAUAUUGGAAAAUGGGCGAAAGCCGGACUCAGCCAUGCCGCGUGUGUGAAGAAGGUCUUCGGAUUGUAAAGCACUUUAAGUUGGGAGGAAGGGCAGUAAGUUAAUACCUUGCUGUUUUGACGUUACCGACAGAAUAAGCACCGGCUAACUCUGUGCCAGCCGCCGCCGUAA
rnacentral:rRNA from 1 species